rnacentral:rRNA from 1 species
CCCUUAGAUGUUCUGGGCCGCACGCGCGCUACACUGACUGCGGCAACGUGUUCACAACCUUGACCGAAGGGUCCGGGUAAUCAUCGAAACGCAGUCGUGGUGGGGAUAGACUAUUGCAAUUAUUAGUCUUCAACGAGGAAUUCCUAGUAAGCGUGAGUCAUCAGCUCGCGUUGAUUACGUCCCUGCCCUUUGUACACACCGCCCGUCGCUCCUACCGAUUGGAUGAUCCGGUGAAAUCUUCGGACCGUAGCACUGUGUCUGGGUUUCCAGUCGCGGCGCUGUGGGAAGUUGCUUAAACCUUAUCAUCUAGAGGAAGGAGAAGUCGUAACA